CCUACGGGAGGCUGCAGUGGGGAAUAUUGCACAAUGGGGGAAACACUGAUGCAGCAACGCCGCGUGAGUGAAGAAGUAUUUCGGUAUGUAAAGCUCUAUCAGCAGGGGAGAAAAUGCCAGUACCUGACUACGAAGCCCCGGCUCACUACGUGCCAGCAUCCGCGGUACUCCGUAGGGGGCAAGCGUUAUCCGGAUUUACUGGGUGUAAUGGGAGCGUAGUCGGCUGCGCAGGUCAGAAGUGAAAGGCCGGGGCUCAACCGCGGGACUGCUGUUGAAACUGUGUAGCUAGAGUGCAGGAGAGGUAAGUGGAAGGCGUAGUGUAGCGGUGAAAUGCGUAGAUAUUAGGAGGAACACCGGGGGCGAAGGCGGCGUACUGGACUGUAACUGACGGUGAGGCACGAAAGCGUGGGGAGCAAACAGGAUUAGAUACCCCGGUAGUC
rnacentral:rRNA from 1 species